rnacentral:rRNA from 1 species
UGGGGAAUUUUGCACAAUGGGGGAAACCCUGAUGCAGCGACGCCGCGUGAUUUAGAAGGCCUUCGGGUUGUAAAAAUCUUUUCUAUGGGAAGAAAAUGACAGUACCAUAGGAAUAAGGACCGGCUAAUUACGUGCCAGCAGCCGCGGUAAUACGUAAGGUCCGAGCGUUGUCCGGAAUCAUUGGGCGUAAAGGGUACGUAGGCGGGUAAGCAAGUUAGAAGUGAAAUCCUAUAGCUCAACUAUAGUAAGCUUUUAAAACUGCUCAUCUUGAGGUAUGGAAGGGAAAGUGGAAUUCCUAGUGUAGCGGUGAAAUGCGCAGAUAUUAGGAGGAAUACCGGUGGCGAAGGAGACUUUCUGGCCAUAACCUGACGCUGAGGUACGAGAGAGUGGGUAGCAAACAGG